rnacentral:rRNA from 1 species
CGCCCUUAGAGUUUGAUCCUGGCUCAGGAUGAACGCUAGCUACAGGCUUAACACAUGCAAGUCGAGGGGAAACGACAUCGAAAGCUUGCUUUUGAUGGGCGUCGACCGGCGCACGGGUGAGUAACGCGUAUCCAACCUGCCCACCACUUGGGGAUAACCUUGCGAAAGUAAGACUAAUACCCAAUGACGUCUCUAGAAGACAUCUGAAGGAGAUUAAAGAUUUAUCGGUGAUGGAUGGGGAUGCGUCUGAUUAGCUUGUUGGCGGGGUAACGGCCCACCAAGGCGACGAUCAGUAGGGGUUCUGAGAGGAAGGUCCCCCACAUUGGAACUGAGACACGGUCCAAACUCCUACGGGAGGCAGCAGUGAGGAAUAUUGGUCAAUGGACGAGAGUCUGAACCAGCCAAGUAGCGUGCAGGAUGACGGCCCUAUGGGUUGUAAACUGCUUUUAUAAGGGAAUAAAGUGAGUCUCGUGAGACUUUUUGCAUGUACCUUAUGAAUAAGGACCGGCUAAUUCCGUGCCAGCAGCCGCGGUAAUACGGAAGGUCCGGGCGUUAUCCGGAUUUAUUGGGUUUAAAGGGAGCGUAGGCCGGAGAUUAAGCGUGUUGUGAAAUGUAGAUGCUCAACAUCUGCACUGCAGCGCGAACUGGUUUCCUUGAGUACGCACAAAGUGGGCGGAAUUCGUGGUGUAGCGGUGAAAUGCUUAGAUAUCACGAAGAACUCCGAUUGCGAAGGCAGCUCACUGGAGCGCAACUGACGCUGAAGCUCGAAAGUGCGGGUAUCGAACAGGAUUAGAUACCCUGGUAGUCCGCACGGUAAACGAUGGAUGCCCGCUGUUGGUCUGAAUAGGUCAGCGGCCAAGCGAAAGCAUUAAGCAUCCCACCUGGGGAGUACGCCGGCAACGGUGAAACUC